ensembl:lncRNA LINC00658 long intergenic non-protein coding RNA 658
CCACCGCUCUCCAAGGACUCUCGAGCAGCUCCAUCUACAGAUUCACAUGGAGAAGAAUUAAGGGUUCCUGCCAAUCACCAGCACCACUUUGCCAGCCUUGUAAGUGGGCCACCUUGGAAUUGGAGCCUCCAGUUCCUACUGACAUCUGACUGCAACAUCAUGAGAGACCCUGAGUUUGAACCACCCAGCUGAGCUGCUUCUGAGCUAACCCACUGAAACCACAGUUGGCAUCUGUGUGAAGAUGUGAAUGGAGGAGGCAGAGUAGGCAGUGAGUGCCGCAGCCACAGCUUGUGUUCUCUGCAGCCCUGGCACAGAAGAUAGGAACACUCAUGGGGGAUGCGGCCACUGUGAUGUCUUCCCACACAAGAAGUGCCAAGUGCUUUUCUCAUGCUUUUCUGGAUUGUCCCAUGGUGGACGAGUCAGCAGGAGUGAGAUGGAGCAGCACAGUAGAGGGGUACCUGGCAAGGCCCGGAGGGAGGACCCCCUGCCCCAAACAUUUCAAUGAUAUCAGGUGUGCCACCUCUUUGAUCCAGCAAGUGGGAAGAACAGUCCCGGCCUCUUUGCACACAAGACCGUGAUACCAAUGCACCAUCACAGGCCCCACAGGGGAGCUGUCCGCUUCCCCACACAGCUGCUAGGGGCUCUUUUGCAUGUUCCCAACCUUUCCUGCCUUUAUCUGAUAUUCGUUCCUUAGAUCCUGGGAUGAGGAGGUGGACCAGCAGAAGGUGGGCUUGUGAAGGCAGCCCGGGGUCCAAAUCCUCCUGGCUCUUCAGCUUAGCGGGUUAGUUAACAUUCAGAAGCCUUCAUCUCCCAUCUGCAAAAUGGGCAUGUCCAACUCAGAAGCUGCCUUGAAGAAAGGGUCUACCCAGCAUGGUGCGUGGAGCCUAAGCAGUCAGUACUUCAGGACUUCACCCGGCCCCUUUCCAAUAACUGCUGCUGUCGCCCUCACAGGAUGUCACCUUCAGCGUCUGAAAGCUGGGUUUGAUGCGUCUGGAAAGGCGUCCCUGACAGGCGUCGUUGCCAGGAGCCCCUAGUGCCACCAGCAGCCAGCAGGGGAGGGCGUCCUCUGCCCGCUCACUUCUGACCCUUCUCUCGUUGCACCCGGAACAUGGUGCAGCUGGGAGCAGCCUGGGCUGCGCGGAAGGCUCAGAUUUGGGGACGGCCCUUGCCAGUGACUGUGAGCUGGGGUGUCUUGGAAACUCCCAGUCUCAGCUUCUCCAUUUAUAAGAUGAGAAUGAUCAUACCAGACUCAGGCAAGGUUGUUUGUGCAUUAGUGAAAUCAGACGUAUUAAAUAAAGUACCACAUUGAUCGU